rnacentral:rRNA from 1 species
GAUGAACGCUGGCGGCGUGCCUAAUACAUGCAAGUCGAGCGAACAGAUAAGGAGCUUGCUCCUUUGACGUUAGCGGCGGACGGGUGAGUAACACGUGGGUAACCUACCUAUAAGACUGGAAUAACUCCGGGAAACCGGGGCUAAUGCCGGAUAACAUUUAGAGCCGCAUGGUUCUAAAGUGAAAGAUGGUUUUGCUAUCACUUAUAGAUGGACCCGCGCCGUAUUAGCUAGUUGGUAAGGUAAUGGCUUACCAAGGCAACGAUACGUAGCCGACCUGAGAGGGUGACCGGCCACACUGGAACUGAGACACGGUCCAGACUCCUACGGGAGGCAGCAGUAGGGAAUCUUCCGCAAUGGGCGAAAGCCUGACGGAGCAACGCCGCGUGAGUGAUGAAGGGUUUCGGCUCGUAAAACUCUGUUAUUAGGGAAGAACAAACGUGUAAGUAACUGUGCACGUCUUGACGGUACCUAAUCAGAAAGCCACGGCUAACUACGUGCCAGCCGCCGCAGUAA